UUUCAAGAUAAGAGACUCGCAGACAAGAGGCGUUUAUUUCCCAAAUCGUUUGUUUAAAUAACUCAACACACAUUUCCAUUACACACAUCAU